rnacentral:misc_RNA from 1 species
UAAUAAGUGUUUUAUGGCACUUUUUAAAUCCAUAUCCACCUUGUGUGCAAUGUCAGUCGAUCUUCUUCAUGGAGAUCGACCAAACAUCAACCUUUAUCUUUUAACUCUUUGUCUGAAAAAUAUUAUGAAUAAACAAUCAAAAUA